AGUUGGGACCUCCACCUUAUCGAGAUCUCCUCGAGCACCCCACUAGGGAUUGGAUCGAGACUAUGAUCGUGACUUGGCAAAACUGCCGCAAAUUGACUUUGGAUUUACUAUAGACAAGACCUCAUUGGGAUCUCCCCAGGCACCUCUCUAGGGAUCGAGUCGAGAUGAUGAUGGUGACUUGCCAAAACUACCACAAAUCGACUUCGGAUUGACUAUGGAUGAGAUUUCAUAGGGAUCUCCCC
rnacentral:lncRNA from 1 species